UGGAAGAACCUGGAUUAACCAUG
rnacentral:piRNA from 1 species